UACGUAGGUGGCAAGCGUUAUCCGGAAUUACUGGGCGUAAAGCGUGCGCAGGCGGUUCUGAAAGUCAGCUGUGAAAGCCCCGGGCUUAACCUGGGAAUGGCGGUUGAAACUACAGGACUAGAAUCUGGCAGAGGGGGGUGGAAUUCCACGUGUAGCAGUGAAAUGCGUAGAGAUGUGGAGGAACACCGAUGGCGAAGGCAGCCCCCUGGGCUGAGAUUGACGCUCAGGCACGAAAGCGUGGGGAGCAAACAGG
rnacentral:rRNA from 1 species